rnacentral:rRNA from 1 species
GGGUGCGAUCAUACAAGAGUUAAUGCAUCGGAUCCCAUAAAAUCUCCGCAGUUAAGCAUGCUUGGUCUAGAGUAGUACUGGGAUGGGUGACCUCCUGAGAAGUCCUAGUGUUGCACCCU